GUCGAGAAUCUUCGGCAAUGGGCGCAAGCCUGACCGAGCGACGCCGCGUGGAGGAUGAAGGCCUUCGGGUUGUAAACUCCUGUCGAGGGGGAGGAAGGGGUAACCUUGACCGAUCCCUGGAGGAAGCACGGGCUAAGUUCGUGCCAGCAGCCGCGGUAAGACGAACCGUGCGAACGUUAUUCGGAAUCACUGGGCUUAAAGCGCGUGUAGGCGGGUGGGAACGUCGGCCACUGAAAGCCCCCGGCUCAACCGGGGAAGUGGUGCCGAAACGGCCCGUCUGGAGGGGCGUAGGGGGACCUGGAACUUCCGGUGGAGCGGUGAAAUGCGUUGAGAUCGGAAGGAACGCCCGUGGCGAAAGCGAGGUCCUGGACGUCAUCUGACGCUGAGACGCGAAAGCUAGGGGAGCGAACGGGAUUAGAUACCCUGGUAGUCC
rnacentral:rRNA from 1 species